rnacentral:rRNA from 1 species
UACGUAGGGUGCAAGCGUUGUCCGGAAUUAUUGGGCGUAAAGAGCUUGUAGGCGGUUUGUCGCGUCGGGAGUGAAAACCCAGGGCUUAACCCUGGGCUGGCUUCCGAUACGGGCAGACUAGAGGUAUGCAGGGGAGAACGGAAUUCCUGGUGUAGCGGUGAAAUGCGCAGAUAUCAGGAGGAACACCGGUGGCGAAGGCGGUUCUCUGGGCAUUACCUGACGCUGAGGAGCGAAAGUGUGGGGAGCGAACAGG